rnacentral:lncRNA from 1 species
UUCAUCGGGCCCGACACCCCCCUCAGCGCGUGGCCCUCGGUGUACAUCAAGGAGGAGCUCCUCGAACCGUCGGAUAACAACAACUCCAAUUCCCCGGAUCCCCUCAAGCCCAAACUCGAGCUCGGGGAGCCUCAUGACGACGGCGAUUCGGGCGUCACACACUCGGACCUUUCUGACGGAGAUACUCGUGUCGAAGUGUCCAGCUCUACCAACGGCGCCGUCGCGGUCAGCAACUCUCCUCCGCAACACGACUCCUUCCUCGCCCUUUGCGUCGACGGGAACAAUCAGCCGCAGGAAGUCUAUGGUGACAAUGGGCGCGUGACCCCCGUGGACCGCGACAUCAAGCUGUCCCCCGCCGCCCGCAACAGCCCCGAGUUCGUGUCCACCUACAUCCAGCAGCUCGACAGCUACCCCGCCACCC